GAUGAACGCUGGCGGCGUGCCUAAUACAUGCAAGUCGAGCGAACGGACGAGGAGCUUGCUCCUCUGACGUUAGCGGCGGACGGGUGAGUAACACGUGGAUAACCUACCUAUAAGACUGGGAUAACUUCGGGAAACCGGAGCUAAUACCGGAUAAUAUAUUGAACCGCAUGGUUCAAUAGUGAAAGACGGUUUUGCUGUCACUUAUAGAUGGAUCCGCGCCGCAUUAGCUAGUUGGUAAGGUAACGGCUUACCAAGGCAACGAUGCGUAGCCGACCUGGGAGGGUGAUCGGCCACACUGGAACUGAGACACGGUCCAGACUCCUACGGGAGGCAGCAGUAGGGAAUCUUCCGCAAUGGGCGAAAGCUUGACGGAGCAACGCCGCGUGAGUGAUGAAGGUCUUCGGAUCGUAAAACUCUGUUAUUAGGGAAGAACAAAUGUGUAAGUAACUAUGCACGUCUUGACGGUACCUAAUCAGAAAGCCACGGCUAACUACGUG
rnacentral:rRNA from 1 species